rnacentral:rRNA from 1 species
CACGUACUGUGCGAACGUUAUUCGGAAUCACUGGGCUUAAAGGGUGCGUAGGCGGCGAUUCAAGUCAGAUGUGAAAUGCCUGAGCUCAACUGAGGCAUUGCGUUUGAAACUGAAUUGCUAGAGUAUUUCAGGGGUGUGCGGAACUGCCAGUGGAACGGUGAAAUGUGUUGAUAUUGGCAGGAACACCGGAGGCGAAAGCGGCACACUGGGGAAUAACUGACGCUGAGGCACGAAAGCCAAGGGAGCGAACGGGAUUAGAUACCCCGGUAGUCUUGGCCGUAAACGAUGAGUACUGGGCGGGAGGGGGUUUCCCUUUUCUGCCGUAGCGAAAGCGUUAAGUACUCCGCCUGGGGAGUAUGGUCGCAAGGCUGAA